rnacentral:lncRNA from 1 species
UAUUGUACCGUGAAGUGAAAUAACAGCCCAAAAAGCAAUAAAUAACAACAUGAAAGCAUGAUGCAAAAUGGACGUAUCAGCGGCACUCCGGCGCCACCGGGAGAGAGGGGGAGAGAGCCCCCUCCUUCUUAUUCUUCCUUGGCCUCCCCCCUAGAUGGGAGGAGAGUUCCCCCUCUGGUCCAUGGCUUCCAUGGCGGCGGAGGGGCGAGAGCCCCUCCUAGAUUGGAUCUCCCUCUCUGUUCUCUUCUGUUUCACGCUCUCCAAAUCUGGCCCUUCACGGUUUCUAAAAUUUCCGGAGAUCUGUAACUCCGAUUGCGCUGAAACUUUUACACGAUUUUUUCCAUAAAUUAUCUUUCUUGCGCCAGAAGAAAGUCUCCAACUGACGUCCGAGGAGGGCACAAGACACCAGGGUGCGCCUAGGGCCUGUGGCGCGCCCUGGUGGAUUGUGGGCUCUAUGGGCCCCCGUUUGCAUUGAUUCCACCUCCCAAAAAUCACAUAAAUUCCAAAAUAAUUCUACGUAUAUUUUUAUCAUGUUUGGAAUUCAUUUGUUAUGGAUUUUGUGCGACACAAUAAACAUGCAAAAAAGGAACUGCCACUGGGCACAAGAUCAAUAGGUUAGUCGCAUAAAUCAUAUAAAAAGUUGCCAAAAGUAUGUGAAAGUUGUAUAAUAUUGGCAUGAAACAAUCAAAAAUUAUAGAUACGAUGGAGACGUAUCACUAGCAUUCAAAUGUCACAGAACCUUGGUCGACAUGACUAGUUAUAAACCCAAGUGGCACAUGCGUACAGGAAGAGGCAUACGUAACCCAUCAAUGCAAGUGUCGGUCAUCAACUGCAUGUAGACGAGUCAUAGCAAGAUACACAGACUCCACUACACCGUGAGACAUUUCUGUCAUCAACUACGUGUAGAUGAGUCAUAGCAGGCUACAUGGACACCAUUAAACCUUGUGACAUUUCCUCGUGGGGACACACACAUCAACAAACAAGGAUACACGUUGAUCAAUUAAUGUGUUCGGAGCAGUAGCAAGCUACCAUGGCUCUAUGGAAACACAAAGAGGCAUUUUCUACAAUGAUAGCUACUAAAGGCACACAACUAGAUGUUGAUUCCCACACAUGCAACACAUUACAAAACAUACACGCAAUAUGCACAAAUGUGUAGAUACAACAUGGCAUCACAACACUACUCUACGACUCAAGCAUUUAUGAAUGACUCAUAAGAGUUAACAUAGUGUGAUAUUACAAACAAGGGUCACAUGGCCCAACACUCAAGUCAUACAAACAACAAGCGGAAGCAUAAUAUGUCUGAGUACAGACAUCUACUAAAAGUGGUUGGAGGAACAUGAAAAUCUACAACGACCCUCCCAAAGGAGCCAGACAUCCGUCUAGGAUUCCCAAGCUAAUUUGGUUAAUGUCAAACUUCAUGUAGAAACCCUUAAUGAGACUAAGGUCUCCUCUACAAAAACAUAAUUAAGCAACCGUGAGUACAAAGGUACUUAGUAAGACUUACAUCAGAACUAUCUACUUAUGGAUCAGUAUCAGUGAAGGGGGUUGUGGAGUUUAUUGCAACAAGCUAGCAUUAACUCUUGGCUAACCUAUACUACAGCUACGAGUACUUUCUUUGAGGUAAGAGAGUGCACACGAGUCCACAUAUUCACUAGAUCAAUACACCACCGUGGAUCCACUCCCGUCUCCCUAAGAGAAGGACAUCCAUAUCACUCACACUUAUAUUGCACCUUUUAGAGUGUCCAUUUCAAUUGUCUAUGUACCACAUAAGUUUUCCAAGUAGUCCAUAUCUGAGGACGCGGCUAUUUGAACAAAUUUGUUCACCCUGCAGGGGUCUACUUCUUCACACACGCUCUCAUCACUUAUCACCAUAUGCACGUCAUGCAUCUUGGCAACCUUCAAGCGGAAGCACUGGCAUGGGCGUCGGCCACGACCAUUAACCACACAAGACCCUAGUCCAUGUUUAUCACCUAUUUGAGACUGAACCUGCAAGGAAGUUCGAUCGAAGUUUCCUCUAUGACCUCAAAUGAUGUGCACGGAGUUCCACAAGCCCACCAUUUGGGUGCCACUUGGUACAUCGUGCCACUGUGUAUCUACCACACAGAACCCAAACCCGUCGGGCAAAUCUAAAUACGAGUGCCACCACUUUUCUUACAAGCACAAGAAACUAGUUGCAACUAUUGAAUAGAGAUCUAGGCCAAUAAUAAGCCAAGAGGGAUCGAGUUACCGGAACCCAAUGUGAGGUAGUAUCUUGAGUUGGAUAACAUACACAAAACUAAGUUCUUAGGGACGUUCAUAAUGAUACAACCCGCCAUGUACUCCUAUAUAACCUCUCAUCGCUACCUUUACCAAAUCGGAUUCACACGCUUAGCUCUCACACAGUAGGACAUGAACACAUCCAUUCUCAUUCAUCGCCCAGACGGAUCAGACUCCACACGACUCUAUGCAUAGCUGGCACAGUAAGCAAGCAUGGAUGAGUAAGCACAACAAGGCUCAAGAAGUUGCUACCCAUGCUAAGUGGUUUCAACUAUUUACUAUGAUAAAGACAUGUCAUGCAAAGGAAUAGAUUUAGCUACCGAGAACAUGUAACAAUUGAAUCAUGAUUGUCCUAAUGCAAUAAAAGAGAGCAAGAGUGAGAGAGUGGGUUCAUAUCAGUAUGCUCAAGGGGGGUUGCUUGCCUGACAGAUUUGAAGAUAGAACUUCUCUUCAUCAGUGUCACUGAUCAUAACGUUGGAACCAUCGUCUAGUGAAAAGGAAUAACACCGACGAACAAGAAGAAGAAACACAUUCAAUGUGAUGCACAACCAGAUGAAUGGUAUGUCAUGUUAUGGUACUUAAUUGACCUAAUGCAACAACUCAUCAUAUUAAUUGAAGUGGAAUUCAACAUAGCUCAAAUUCCAACUCCAAAUGUUAUUUCAUAAAUUUCUCUAAUCAUGAAAUUGUCCUAGUUGAUGAUGUUAACUUACUCAAAUAUGCAUGAACAUGGCAUAAACAGAUUCUUCAUAUAUUUUUAAUCAUUUUUCAUAUAUAAUUUAUUUUCAUCUGAGUUAUAGAUAAUUUUAUAUGAAUUUUAGAAGCUUUAACCCUUAUUCGAAAUAAAUAAAUUAGUUAAGAUUUAUCUAAAUUCCAGAAUUGAAUUAUUGCGUGAGCAUGAAGUCAGUGUGAUGUGAGCAGGUCAACAUGCUGGUCAAGGUCAAACGUGACGUCAGUGUCACAGUAAAUUAACACGGUUUAAUAUAUUUAAUUAAGUCAUUAGGCUAAUUAACUCACGGGGCUGGCCCACCCGUCACUGACCAAGAUAGGUCAAACCUUAGGUUAGCGGGGUCAAUCGCUCCAGUGUUAAGCCGCCGAUGGCAGCAGAUGCGGUGGAGGGCAUCGAAAAUCGCCUUCCGACGACCAAACGAGCGACGGAGCAGCUCUACGCGUUGUGGGGCCUCGUGCGCAUCUACUGGUGGGGGUGGCAUCGCCGAAGAUGGGCCAGAGCAUUGGCAGCAACCGUAAAGGCAGCGACCGGAUCUCGGCUCGAGCUGGCUACAGGCUGCACGGCACGGGGAGGCUAGCCAAACGGCACUACGAUGUCGUGUUGUCAUCAGGAGCACGCCGGUGCCACUACUGCAAGCGGAGGAGCUCGGGAACACAAGGAUCACCGGCCAUGGAGGCGACAAGCUUCGACCAUGGCAUCACAACUAGCUAGGGGGCGCACAUGACGACAAGAAGAGAGUUAGAGAGGGGAGAGGAAGAGGGGCUUACAGUGGUUCGUAGGGGAAACAGAGCGCAACCGGGGGAGCUUGGGGGCUCGAGAAUUUGAUGUUGGUGGCCGACGGAUCCGAGGAUGAAGACAAUGGCAUAGACGGCCUUUAGGUGCUCCAGUCAUUGCGUGGCUCAUCGAGGAUGAAGCAGAGGAGGGGGCGGAUCCAUUGGACACGACGACGAGGCAAACAAGCCGCGGUGGGUGCGGUUUCUACAACGGCAUGGGCAUGGCGUUCUCACCCAUGGUGGAGGAGAGCAAGGGAGAGGGCGAGAGGGGUAGAUGAGGAGUCCGCUCGAUCACGACAUCUCCGUGGAGGCUAUCCAG